rnacentral:rRNA from 1 species
CCUACGGGCGGCUGCAGUGAGGAAUAUUGGACAAUGGGCGCAAGCCUGAUCCAGCCAUGCCGCGUGCAGGAAGACGGUCCUAUGGAUUGUAAACUGCUUUUAUACAGGAAGAAACACUCCCUCGUGAGGGAACUUGACGGUACUGUAAGAAUAAGGAUCGGCUAACUCCGUGCCAGCAGCCGCGGUAAUACGGAGGAUCCAAGCGUUAUCCGGAAUCAUUGGGUUUAAAGGGUCCGUAGGCGGUUUAGUAAGUCAGUGGUGAAAGCCCAUCGCUCAACGAUGGAACGGCCAUUGAUACUGCUAGACUUGAAUUAUUAGGAAGUAACUAGAAUAUGUAGUGUAGCGGUGAAAUGCUUAGAUAUUACAUGGAAUACCAAUUGCGAAGGCAGGUUACUACUAAUUGAUUGACGCUGAUGGACGAAAGCGUGGGGAGCGAACAGGAUUAGAUACCCCAGUAGUC